GACAGAGGUCCCGAGCGUUAGGCGGAAUCACUGGGCUUAAAGCGUGUGUAGGCGGAGUGCUAAGUACCUUGUGAAAUCCCACGGCUUAACCGUGGAACUGCUGGGUAUACUGGUUCUCUUGGGCCACUUAGGGGUUACCGGAACAAACGGUGGAGCGGUGAAAUGCAUUGAGAUCGGAAAGAACACCAACGGCGAAAGCACUCUGCUGGGCCGACACUGACACUGAGAGACGAAAGCUAGGGGAGCAAAUGGG
rnacentral:rRNA from 1 species